UGAGCUUAGAAAUAGGAAAAAGAAAGAAGGUUCAAAGCCCAGCUUAGCAAAUACCCUUGUACAUCCAACUCGGCCCUACCCAGAAUUCCUAGAAUUUGGGAGGAAGCCAAGCCGCCACAUCCGUUGCCAAUCAAACUAUCGUUUCUCCUACCAUGCCAAAUUAGAUCACCGGCGAGAUUUAAAACUACUAGCUUAUUAGAGAUCUCAUAGAGACCCAACACAUCCGCUAAACCCUUGCUUCAACCCCGUCGACAGUGGACUUCCUUACUACUAGAACAAAACCAUCGCCAAGGUCAGGAAAGCUAUGUGAUAGAGCUCCUCAGCAUCUAAAUCUCAUUUAGCCUUUAGGGACCACGUUCAGCCGCAAUGUAAGGUUAAACCUGGAG
rnacentral:misc_RNA from 1 species